CCAAAACAUUUGGGGUGCCAAUUGGCUGAGAUUAUACCCAUUGAACCUGAUCUGGAUAGUACCAGCGAAGGGAAAUGUGGAAUGUUACGA
rnacentral:ncRNA from 2 species